rnacentral:rRNA from 1 species
GACGAACGCUGGCGGCGUGCUUAACACAUGCAAGUCGAACGGUGAAGGAAUCAGCUUGCUGGUUCUGGAUGAGUGGCGAACGGGUGAGUAACACGUGAGUAACCUGCCCCCUUCUUCUGGAUAACCGCAUGAAAGUGUGGCUAAUACGGGAUAUUCUGCGCCUGCUGCAUGGUGGGUGUGGGAAAGAUAUUGUUUCGGUGGGGGAUGGGCUCGCGGCCUAUCAGCUUGUUGGUGGGGUGAUGGCCUACCAAGGCGGUGACGGGUAGCCGGCCUGAGAGGGUGGACGGUCACACUGGGACUGAGACACGGCCCAGACUCCUACGGGAGGCAGCAGUGGGGAAUAUUGCACAAUGGGCGCAAGCCUGAUGCAGCGACGCCGCGUGAGGGAUGGAGGCCUUCGGGUUGUGAACCUCUUUCGCCAGUGAAGCAGGCCUGUCCCUUGUGGGUGGGUUGACGGUAGCUGGAUAAGAAGCGCCGGCUAACUACGUG